UGUUCUGUGGCUAAGUUGGUUAAAGCGCCGGACUAACGAUACAGAGUCGUGGGUUCGAGUCCCAACCAAAACA
rnacentral:tRNA from 1 species